GACGAACGCUGGCGGCGUGCCUAAUACAUGCAAGUAGGACGCAGUUGCGAACGGGUGAGUAACGCGUAGGUAACUGCCUAUUAGUGGGGGAUAACUAUUGGAAACGAUAGCUAAUACCGCAUACUAGUAGAUGGACCUGCGUUGUAUUAGCUAGUAGGUAGGGUAAUGGCCUACCUAGGCGGCGAUACAUAGCCGACGUGGGGGGGUGAACGGCCACACUGGGAAUGAGACACGGCCCAGACUCCUACGGGAGGCAGCAGUAGGGAAUCUUCGGCAAUGGGGGGAAACCUGACCAAGCAAAGCCGCGUGAGUGAAGAAGGUUUUCGGAUCGUAAAGCUCUGUUGUUAAGGAAGCGGUACUUAACCAGAAAGGGACGGCUAACUACGUGCCAGCAGCCGCGGUAAUUC
rnacentral:rRNA from 1 species